AACACAUUGCAAGAAGCUUCAUCUAGCAGCAGCAGCAGCAGCAGAGAGGGUUUUUGGGAAGAAGGGGGCAAUUGAAAAAUGGCGUCAAGAACACUUGAAAUAGAGAAGAUGAGUGUGGAGCAACUUAAAGCACUCAAAGAACAAGCCGAUCUAGAAGUGAACCUUCUUCAGGAUAGCCUCAAUAACAUCCGUACAGCAACUACUCGACUGGAAAUCGCAUCUAAUGCCCUUCAAGAUCUGUCACUACGCCCUCAAGGGAAGAAAAUGUUGGUGCCUUUAACAGCGUCUUUAUAUGUGCCGGGAACACUAGAUGAUGCUGAUAAGGUUUUGGUAGAUGUCGGCACUGGAUAUUUUGUUGAGAAAACAAUGACAGAAGGAAAAGAUUACUGUGAGCGGAAAAUCAACCUGCUUAAGUCCAACUACGAGCAACUUCUUGAUGUAGCGACGAAGAAGAAAAGUGUUGCUGAUGAAACUGGUCUUAUCUUGCAAGCUAAAUUAAGACAACUUGCUCAAGCACAAUAGAAAGGUCAACGCUUCCUUCGUUGAUAACUCAACAAGCUCAUGUGCCUCAAAAGAACUUUAGGAGUACCAAAUUCUGUCUGAAUUAUUAGUGCUUGAACCGUGAAGUAGAAGUUCAACGAUUGUUCAACGUACCUCCCUCCCUUUCACCCUCACUUUUCGUGUUCUUUUUACCUUUCGCGAGAAAUCGUUGAUUGAUGAUCAUCUGUUCCAUUGUAGCAGACAUUUGGUUGAUUACAAG
rnacentral:misc_RNA from 1 species